GUGCCAGCAGCCGCGGUAAUACGUAGGGUGCAAGCGUUAUCCGGGAAUUAUUGGGCGUAAAGAGCUCGUAGGCGGUUUGUCGCGUCUGCUGUGAAAACUGGGGGCUCAACCCCCAGCCUGCAGUGGGUACGGGCAGACUAGAGUGCGGUAGGGGAGAUUGGAAUUCCUGGUGUAGCGGUGGAAUGCGCAGAUAUCAGGAGGAACACCAAUGGCGAAGGCAGAUCUCUGGGCCGUUACUGACGCUGAGGAGCGAAAGCAUGGGGAGCGAACAGGAUUAGAUACCCUGGUAGUCCAUGCCGUAAACGUUGGGAACUAGAUGUAGGGACCAUUCCACGGUUUCUGUGUCGCAGCUAACGCAUUAAGUUCCCCGCCUGGGGAGUACGGCCGCAAGGCUAAAACUCAAAGGAAUUGACGG
rnacentral:rRNA from 1 species